rnacentral:rRNA from 1 species
CCGCCGCAGUAACACAUGCAAGUCGAGCGCGAAAGGAGCAAUCCGAGUAGAGCGGCGCACGGGUGCGUAACACGUGGAUAAUCUACCCUUGAAUUCGGGAUAACCAUUCGAAAGUUUGGCUAAUACCGGGUAAGCUCAGGGCGACUUCGGUCGCAGGGAGAGAAGCAGACCUCUAUUUAUAAGUUUGCGUUUGAGGAUGAGUCCGCGGCCCAUCAGCUAGUUGGCGGGGUAAAAGCCCACCAAGGCAACGACGGGUAACUGGUCUGAGAGGACGAUCAGCCACACUGGAACUGAGACACGGUCCAGACUCCUACGGGAGGCAGCAGUGGGGAAUUUUCCACAAUGGGCGAAAGCCUGAUGGAGCAACGCCGCGUGUGUGAUGAAGGUCUUCGGAUCGUAAAGCACUUUCGAUCGGGACGAAAACCCAUUGGCUAACAUCCAGUGGCUUGACUGUACCGAGAGAAGAAGCACCGGCUAACUCUGUGCCAGCCGCCGCUGUAAUAC